rnacentral:rRNA from 1 species
GCUGGGUGGAUUAGUGGCGAACGGGUGAGUAACACGUGAGUAACCUGCCCUGGACUCUGGGAUAACCCCGAGAAAUCGGAGCUAAUACCGGAUAGGACCUUUCCCCGCAUGGGGUUUGGUGGAAAGUUUUUCGGUUUGGGAUGGACUCGCGGCCUAUCAGCUUGUUGGUGAGGUAAUGGCUCACCAAGGCGUCGACGGGUAGCCGGCCUGAGAGGGUGACCGGCCACACUGGGACUGAGACACGGCCCAGACUCCUACGGGAGGCAGCAGUGGGGAAUAUUGCACAAUGGGCGCAAGCCUGAUGCAGCAACGCCGCGUGCGGGAUGACGGCCUUCGGGUUGUAAACCGCUUUUAGUAGGGAAGAAGGGCUUCGGCUUGACGGUACCUGCAGAAAAAGGACCGGCUAACUACGUGCCAGCAGCCGCGGUAAUACGUAGGGUCCGAGCGUUGUCCGGAAUUAUUGGGCGUAAAGAGCUCGUAGGCGGUUUGUCGCGUCUGCUGUGAAAACUAGAGGCUCAACCUCUAGCCUGCAGUGGGUACGGGCAGACUUGAGUGGUGUAGGGGAGACUGGAAUUCCUGGUGUAGCGGUGGAAUGCGCAG